rnacentral:tRNA from 1 species
GGGACGUUAGCUCAGUCGGUAGAGCAAUUGACUCUUAAUCAAUGGGUCGCAGGUUCGAUCCCUGCACGUCCUA